rnacentral:rRNA from 1 species
UUUUAUGGAGAGUUUGAUCCUGGCUCAGGAUGAACGCUGGCGGCGUGCCUAAUACAUGCAAGUCGAGCGAACAGACGAGGAGCUUGCUCCUCUGACGUUAGCGGCGGACGGGUGAGUAACACGUGGAUAACCUACCUAUAAGACUGGGAUAACUUCGGGAAACCGGAGCUAAUACCGGAUAAUAUAUUGAACCGCAUGGUUCAAUAGUGAAAGACGGUUUUGCUGUCACUUAUAGAUGGAUCCGCGCCGCAUUAGCUAGUUGGUAAGGUAACGGCUUACCAAGGCAACGAUGCGUAGCCGACCUGAGAGGGUGAUCGGCCACACUGGAACUGAGACACGGUCCAGACUCCUACGGGAGGCAGCAGUAGGGAAUCUUCCGCAAUGGGCGAAAGCCUGACGAGCAACGCGCGUGAGU